rnacentral:rRNA from 1 species
AUUGAACGCUGGCGGCAGGCCUAACACAUGCAAGUCGAGCGGAGCGGCGGACGGGUGAGUAAUGCCUAGGAAUCUGCCUGGGAGUGGGGGAUAACGUACGGAAACGGGACCUAAUACCGCAUACUAUCAGAUGAGCCUAGGUCGGAUUCGCUAGUUGGUGGGGUAAAGGCUUACCAAGGCGACGAUCCGUAACUGGUCUGAGAGGAUGAUCAGUCACACUGGAACUGAGACACGGUCCAGACUCCGACGGGAGGCAGCAGUGGGGAAUAUUGGACAAUGGGCGAAAGCCUGAUCCAGCCAUGCCGCGUGUGUGAAGAAGGCCUUCGGGUUGUAAAGUACUUUCAGCGGGGAGGCGUUACCCGAAGAAGAAGCACCGGCUAACUCCGUGCCAGCAGCCGCGGUAAUUC